AAUAGCCAUGGACUUCAUCUCAUCUUAAGCAGUAAUACAUUUAUGCAGUUGGAUCUCCUCAUGCGUACUUCCAAUCACAUCUCCCUUCACAUGGGUCACUUUGUAGCCAAUCAGAUCCUCUCUUCCUUGCCCGGCUCCUGAAGCCUGGCCUGUUGGUCCCGCCGAGGCUGCCAGUGGCACCCCAAGGCACUCUGGGCAGAGGUUCCACUGCUCGCAGCCCAGCAGGCAAACGCUAGAACUCGCUAGCUCCUUUAUCGUUUCAAGAUGCGAAUGAAGCGUCCUCCUGUGGGGCUUGGGAGAUGGCUUCCAUGGCAACUGCCACAGAGGUGACAGGUCCGAGAAGCGUGGGAGAAUUCGCUUCCUGAGGUUAAACCAAGGACAGCUAGAAGACCGGAGGAAGUGAAAGAUCCAUCUCCCCUCCCCCGCCCUCGGAGCGCUUGUUCCGAGGAUGGUUCUUUGUACUGCCUGUGCUGUUAACAUGCUGACUUGUUUUUCUAUCCCAUCCUUUCCUGUCUUCAGUUUGUCUUUCUUCCCCUUUGGCACCUUGAAUUUGCGUAUCACCAAAAUUGUUAGCAUGCAAUCUCUGUAUGGGGUUCUCUUUUCUAGGAGACAUGACUGACUUACGAUGUUCAUCAUUCAGAGGUAACUGAUGGAUUUGAGAUUUUCUUUUCCUAUUUGAUUCAUCUUAAAUUGGCUUCUGCAGAGGAUGUGAGGAUUUGGAUUUUCUAAUGCAGGGAGACCAGUAUUGAGUAAGAUCUGUGCCUAUGGAAGUAUAUGCUAGUGGAAUCACAUGAUCCUAGGGUUGGAAGUUGCCUUGCUGGUGCAUGAUCAUCUACCUCAAUCCAAAGGAUUUGAGCAUUACUCUCCAACUACAAAAGACCUCCGAACUGAGAAGGAAUGAAUCUCUGACCCAUUUGUGAAUAAGCCAGGUGAACUGACUUUGUGCUAGAGAGGAUCAACUGGUUGAGAGUGCAAAUGAUGAUGGCCUUAAAAGUGUGAGACCGAGGGCCUUAUCAAACGCUCCGAGGAGCUGACUGCAGCGACGAUCACCCGGGAAGGAACACACCGGACAAGUUGGAAAGGUUUUCCACAGUGACGGCAGCCAAAACGAGAUUAUGGAUCAGUCUAAACAUAAGCAGCACACUUCGGGUGUCACUGUCCUUCAUCACCCUCAGAUGGGAUCAUUGAGUAGCAGGAAAUCAAGCUCGAGACUCCCACUGAUUCUGCAUUGUGUGAGGUGUGCAGUUAUUUCAUAAUCUAUUACAACAUAAUAAAAAUACAAAUAAAGCCUACAAUAAAUAUAAUGUACUUGAAUCAUUCUCCAUUAAUGGAAAAGUUGUCUUCCAUGAAACCAGUCCCUGGUGCCAAAAAAUUUGAAGAUUUCUGGCCUAAAAUAUAAUCUACCCUGGAGAAUGUUCCAUGUGCACUUGAGAAAAAUGCUGGGGAGAAUGUUGCAUGUGUGUAUGUCUGACUAUUAUGUCCAUUUAAUCUAUAGCAUUCACGUCUACUGUCUGUUGAUUUUCUGUCUGGAUAGUCUAUCCAUUGUUGAAAGUGGUUAUAAUGAAGGUUACUAUUACUGUAUUCCUAUUUCUCAUUCAGUUCUGCUCCUAUUUGCAGUAUAUAUUCAGCAGUUCUGAUGUUAGAUGCAUAGAUAUUUACAGCUGCUAUAUCCUGUCAAGGAACUGAUCCCUGUGUCAGUACCUAAGAACUUUCUUUUCCUCUUGCGACAGUGUUUGGCAAAAGGCUAUUUAAUCUGACAUAAGUAUAGCCACCUCUGCUUUCUUCAGGUUACAUUUGCAUGAAAUAUCUUUUUCAUCUCUUCACUUUAUACUACUUGUGUCUUUAAUGCUAAAGUGAGUCCCUUUGGGGCAGAGUAUAGUUGAGUGUUUUUAAAAAAUAUAUUGUACGUUGUAUUUUAAAAUGCACUUAAAAUACAUUAUAAAAUACCAGAAUUCAUUCUGUUUCUUUUGAUCAAAGGUUUUAAUAAAGUUAUAUUUAAAAUAAUUAUUGACAUGUAAGAAUUUACUACUGUAAUUUUGUUAACUAUGUUUUUACUAUUUUGUAGUGUCUUUGUUCCCCAGUUUCUGUAUUGUUCUUCAUUCUUUUGUGAUUUGAAUACUUUUUGUAGUUCUACAAUUUGAUUUCUUUAUCAUUGUUUGAAGUAUCUGCUACAAGGUUUUUUCUUUGUGCUUACAAUGAAGCUUACGUAAAGCAUCUUAAAACAGGCAAUUUUAAGCUGAUAAGUUUAAUUACAUACAGAAACUACACAUUAACUUCUUUUGCUCAACAUUUUAUGUUCUUGUUGUCACAAAUACUUGUGUAUCCAUUAACAAAUUAUUACAGUUAUUUUUAGUACUUUUGUGUUUUAACUUUGUACUGGCGUUAAAAGCGAUAUUUACACAAUUGUGGUAGUAUUAGAAAAUAAAUUAGAAUUUAUUUAUAUUUUAACCUUUCCAGUGGGUUUUAUAUUUUCAUGUAUCUUCUUGUUAGUUUUUAUUGUUUCAUUUCCACAGGAAGAACUCUCAUAACAUUUCUUAUAAGGCAGUUCUAGUGGUAUGACCCCCUUCCACUUUUGUGUGCCCCAGCCAAUCUUUAUCGCCU
rnacentral:lncRNA from 1 species